UAUGUCGUAACGUUGGUAGAAAGCUUACCAGUCCCGUGGCGGAUGGAUAUAGGCAGAAUUCUCGUCCCACGGUCACCCAGGUUCAGUUGGAGAGGAAGGGCGGUGGUGUGAGCUACUCCUGAGAUGAACAUCAAACACUGUGGAUCGGCUGUGAUGAGGACCAUCCCGUAUAGAACAGCUAAAGUCGUACACACAAAACAGAAGAUCAGUAAAAACAGCAUCUUCUUGCAGCGAAGCGAGCCUUUUAAUAUCUAACCCGCGCUCAUAUCUUAAAACUACACUGGUCGUUUAUAAACAUUACUGACAGAGCAAAUAGUUAUUGAUUGGUUUGUGGCAGAUCAUUCAGUGAAUUCAAUGAUUGUUAGUUUAGGUCUAUUUCCUUGAGCUGUCCUGCCUCUUGGAAACCCAGACUUCGGGGACUGUGCCACUGGCUCAGUGGGGGCAGGUUCAGCUUGGAUGGUUGGAUUUUGCAGCCAUUUUCUAUUGUUUUUUUGCUGUUGUUGCCUCAAUUUUGAAACAAUGCAAGUGAGGGUCGUUUGAGGGUUAGUGCACUAUUGAAUAUUGUUGGCUCAGACUCACUGAAACCCGUGUCCGAAGAGUUUCUUGAAGACGGUACUGCAUGGCCCCUAGGCCGCUUCCCUAGCUCUCUCUGGCCGAUGACAGCAAGUGUAUCCUUAUUAGGAGAUCCAUUUGCAUGAGCAAAAAAGACAUACACUACAACAUUAUUAGAUCAUGAUUGAUAAAAAAGAUAUAUCAGCAGUUUGCAUUGUAGUUCUCGAUAUGGUGUUCUCCUAAAGAGAGGGCUUUUAUUUGCAACUGAGCUAUGUGGGUCUUUUAAGUCAUCCCCAUCAUGUGUGAUAAAUACACUAUUCUGGGCCUUCAACCGCUCACUCGGACUGUCUAUUGUCCCACCUCCAUCGGAGGGUGGUAGAAGUACAGGGGGACCCAGUAACUUAGAUUCUAGCGAGCCAGUCACGGGGAUCAAAAUAUCCCUUCCUACCGCAGCUACCUUGGGCCUAACACUAUCUAAUUCCUUGGACAUCUUUACGGCUACCCUCACCGUGCCUGCAGUAGCUGAGAUCGGCAAUUAGGCCUAUUCUAACCACUUACUAACUAACUUGUCUAUCAAUACCCGCUAAAUAAAAUAAAACUAAAAUUCACCCCCUUCGACGCGUCUCACAGCGUCUCGACAACAACAGUCCUUACACAAACGACGAAUAACCCGAACUAUAAUAACAACAACCUUCCUGGGUACUUCUGCACCGUUCUCCCGGUCAGUAACUUGCAGUACAUGUAUAAAAACAACAAUCAUUCCUACACUUACAAUUUAUAAACAGACCCUGACUACCAUGUCCUCUGCGAGUACCCCAUCGUAGCCCCAAGGGGCACGGCGUGUGACUCCUCCGGUACCUGUACCAUUGAGAACCCUAUCGUUGGCAUCGUCAUAACACUUACUCCAUACGCUUCAAGCCGGCCACGUACUACCUGGAGCUCAUAGGGAUAUGUAUACCACACGCACCCGUGUACAUGAGGGCCGAGCUGCACCAGUUCACGCUGACAGUAAAAUUGAUAGUCGAAACUAGCGGAGUAGUUACAAAUCCAAUCUAACCAUAACGAGUCAGAUUCUUGGAACGUAAGGAUCAAAAUGGCGCCGGCCAAUUGGUCCGACAUGGGCCUUCUUUCUAACUGUUCCUACCGUCCUCCUACCAGUUCACCCUCGCCGGGAUCGGAGCGACUAUCGACCCGUAUUCCACCACGGCCGAGCAGUGUAUUGCUCUCCUGAAUAGUUCUUGCCAAGUGUUUCUCAACUCUGCUGCUGAGAGGAACCAAAACACUUUGUAUCCUAAAUGAGUUCCUAGACGUACUGUCUCUAUCUGCCUAACUAUCUGAUAACCUGCCCUGAUUUCCCCAACCACUAAAUGAUCUACUUCCCCGUAGUGAUUUAUUGAUGAUAAAAUGCUAUCGACGAUUCUAGGUUAUGUUGAGCACUGGCAUGGAGCAUGUGUGCCCAGAAUCGGUAUGUAAGAGUCAUUGGUCAGUCUAUUUCAUAUUUCAGUUAUUUACAAUCACCUAGCAUAAUUAUCGAGCAUCUUAUCAAGAUUAUCGUUUCAAGUAGCCAAUGUAACAAGUUGACGUAAAUUUGAAAAAAAAAAA